GCUUGGGAUUAUGAUGUGACCUGGGAUGAAGAAGGAUCGAGAUGAGAAAAUUCCGCCAUUGUUGUAAAGAGAGACGAUACGCUUACAGAUUUGUUUUCUCGUUUAUGUCAAUUGCUUUCACAGCUAAAGCAUGUAAGUAUAUUCAAAAGAUACAUCUAACUAGUUCCACCGAUUUGUUUAUACUAUAAUGUGCUGAGAUGAUGAUAAUAAUCCAAUGCAGACCUAUUUAAAUUCGGUCCAUUCAGCUUCCCCUCUUUCAAUGCUGUAGAACCGGUGUGGCCCACCAUUUUAUUUUCAUAAAACUUAGAAAUUUACGAUAAUAUAUGCAAUUUUAUAGUGUUAUUCUACUCCCGAUUCUUAUCCCGUUAAAAUGAUACUAUUUUCGUUUAUUUUGAUCAAAUAGUGUUUUCAUAAAAUACCAUCAAAGGUGAUUUAUUUAUUUUUCACAUUAGUACUCAAAUCCAGCUAUGCGAGAACUACCUUUUUUUCAUAAAACUUAGAAAUUUACGAUUAUAAAUGCAAUUCCAUAGUGUUAUUCUUUUCCCGAUUGUUAUCUUGUUAAAAUGAUACUGUUUUCGUAUACUUUGAUUAAAUAGUGUUUUCAUAAAAUACCAUCAAAGGUGAUUUAUUUUGUUCACAUUGAGACCCAAACCCGGCUAUGCGGGACUUACCUUUUUUCAUAAAACUUAGAAAUAAUAGAAUAAAUAUGCAUUUUAAUGAGCCUGUAUUUAUUCCAAAUGUUUUCUUGUUAAAAUAAGAUCAGCGGGGCAUAUAUUUUAUUACCAUGGACAUGUAGACAUUCCCAAUUUAUUUCUCUUUUCUUUGUAAAUUUUCCCCAUCAUUCUCUAUUCUUCAUUUAUUUUAGCAUCCCAUCAUUCUCCAAUCUUAAUAUUUUGAUAAGAUGUUUCCUCUUGUCCUUACUUCUCUGAUUUCAAAUAUGCCGUUAUUCCGAUACUCUUUUGUAUGAAUGAAGGACAGUGCCAGAAAGUCACAGGACAAAAAGUCACAAUUCAUUUUUUCUGAUUAUUUUCCUUAAACAAAAAGCACUUAUUUCUAUUCUUGAACUUUUGUAUACAAACCAACUUUGUAUACAAAAAUUAUCACAACAUAUCAAAGAUGAUCAAAUAAUUGUUACAAAAAACAAAAUGUCAAACUGGUUUGGCACUUAAAUGGCUUCAUGGUGCCAAUAAGUCUUUCUUUUGUAUUAUCAAAAUUUAAUAAAUCUUCAUUUUUCAAAUAUAAUAACACAUUUCGUAACUUUAAUAUGAAUAUAUGUUUUAAAGAUAUUUCUCUUAUAUAUACAAACAAUUAUCAAAAGAUUAUUGGGAUUUUUUUGUCUUGUGACUUUUUGUUCUACUAAAUUUGUGACUUUAUGUCCUGUGACUUUCAGUCCGUUAUGCUUUUGUAAACCCCUUCUAGACCCUCAUGAGACCUACAAAAUAUGUAGAAGCAGAGACUAAAUAUAGUUAACGUUGAUGUCAGCAACUUACAUUGUAUGUUCACGGUACCACAUUUAACAAUUGACAAACAUAUCAAAAAUGUGUACCUAUAGCAAGCUUGAAAGGUCUAUACAUGACAAAAUGAAAUUUAAAAUAGAUUUAGCCAGAGACAUAUAAUACAAUAUAUGUCUCUGAUUUAGCAUAAUAAAAACCGCAGAAUGUUGUAUGACAUACAUGUAGGAAGUAAAGUUUACAAGUAAGACAAAUAGUCUAUUCAACUCUAUCUUUUUUUUUAAUUUAGAAUGCCAAAGAGGAAAAGAUGUAGAAAUUAACAAAUGGAGUUAAAAAGAGAGUAAUCCUCGACCAUGAACAGCUGUUGGUACCAGUAUGGAGGAGACAUCUGUUCCAGUUUCAAUCCACACUGAAGAUGGAAAGAGAAUGAAAAAAUAUGAACGCUUAAAUUUGAUUGUCAUGCUGUUUUUUUUCUAGCACCAGUGAAAGGCACAGAGCAACUGAUUGCACAAGAAAUUGAGAUAUUUGCAGUGAAUGAGACACACAAUAAAGAUGAAGAAUCUUGCCAUCUCCCUUUCACUGUAUGCAAUUUAUUACAAGUUACCAUCGCUGAUACAUGUAUAUAUCCUUAGCUGUACAGAUACCGAAAUUUGCAUAGUUGAACUGUACCAGAUCAGUUGCAGGGAAAUGAUCAUAAAACUCUCAGUUAUCAUUGACAGUAACAUUAUGAAUAAAUGUUUGAUAAUAAAAAUAUUAUUUAUACCUGGAA
rnacentral:lncRNA from 1 species